rnacentral:lncRNA from 1 species
GGCAAACACUUAAAACGCCAUCCUCAACACGCCCCCCUCUCCGUCAAGGGAAGGUCCACUCAUAGUGAACAGCAUUGACAAGGAACAAGGGCAGGCUCAAAAGAGCGUUUUCGUGUAAGAAUGGCUUCCAGAGAAGAAGAGCCCAAAGGGCCAGGUUUUAAAAGGGGGUACCGGCAAAGGCUAUUCACAAUACAAGUGCAGUUGCAAGCUGGUUGACUAUGGAAUGUUACAGACAAGACUCCACUUCCUGGAUUGGAGCAGGGCAGGACAUACACUGAGAUAAGCAGGCCGGAGGAGUGAGGGGAUGCUCUCUCUGGACUCAGCCCCAAUUUUCUUCUUUAAAUUCUGAAGGGGGGAAAAAAUAAUGCUGUUCUUUUCUCAGGGGUGUCCCUGUUCUACCACCAGUGGCCACUAGAGGGAGCCAGGAGAAGAAGGCGGCCUGCCCAGCGGAGCCAGCAAUAGCAGUGGGCCAAGCAGGAAGCAGAGGAUGGGAGAGAAAGGACCGGAAGUGGAGAUGCAGGAGCCCAAAUAAAGAGACUGACAUAAAGCCUGAGGCAGGAGCAGUGGACGCCAUGAUACUCCAACAGCUAGGAGGGAUCGGCAAGGUCUAAUGUUUCCUUCCCCCAGAAAAACACUUCAAACAGCAACCUUUCUCUCUUAACCCUGCUGCAAUACCUAAGCUAAUAAAUAAAAAGCAUGGUGUCUCA